rnacentral:rRNA from 1 species
CCUACGGGAGGCAGCAGUGGGGAAUAUUGGACAAUGGAGGGAACUCUGAUCCAGCAAUUCUGUGUGCACGAAGAAGGUUUUCGGAUUGUAAAGUGCUUUCAGUAGGGAAGAAGAAAGUGACGGUACCUACAGAAGAAGCGACGGCUAAAUACGUGCCAGCAGCCGCGGUAAUACGUAUGUCGCAAGCGUUAUCCGGAAUUAUUGGGCUUAAAGGGCAUCUAGGCGGUAUUUCAAGUCAGGGGUGAAAACUUAUGGCUCAACCAUAAGCUUGCCUUUGAAACUGAAAGACUAGAGUACUGGAAAGGUGGGUGGAACUACACGAGUAGAGGUGAAAUUCGUAGAUAUGUGUAGGAAUGCCGAUGAUGAAGAUAACUCACUGGACAGAAACUGACGCUGAAGUGCGA